AACGAACGCUGGCGGCAGGCUUAACACAUGCAAGUCGAACGCCCCGCAAGGGGAGUGGCAGACGGGUGAGUAACGCGUGGGAACGUACCCUUUACUACGGAAUAACUCAGGGAAACUUGUGCUAAUACCGUAUGUGCCCUUCGGGGGAAAGAUUUAUCGGUAAAGGAUCGGCCCGCGUUGGAUUAGCUAGUUGGUGGGGUAAAGGCUCACCAAGGCGACGAUCCAUAGCUGGUCUGAGAGGAUGAUCAGCCACACUGGGACUGAGACACGGCCCAG
rnacentral:rRNA from 1 species